AGUGAACGCUGGCGGUAGGCCUAACACAUGCCAGUCGAACGGCAGCACAGUAAGAGCUUGCUCUUACGGGUGGCGAGUGGCGGACGGGUGAGGAAUACAUCGGAAUCUACUUUUUCGUGGGGGAUAACGUAGGGAAACUUACGCUAAUACCGCAUACGACCUACGGGUGAAAGCAGGGGAUCUUCGGACCUUGCGCGAUUGAAUGAGCCGAUGUCGGAUUAGCUAGUUGGCGGGGUAAAGGCCCACCAAGGCGACGAUCCGUAGCUGGUCUGAGAGGAUGAUCAGCCACACUGGAACUGAGACACGGUCCAGGCUCCUACGGGAGGCAGCAGUGGGGAAUAUUGGACAAUGGGCGCAAGCCUGAUCCAGCCAUACCGCGUGGGUGAAGAAGGCCUUCGGGUUGUAAAGCCCUUUUUUUGGGAAAGAAAAGCAGCAGGUUAAUACCCCGCUGUUCUGACGGUACCCAAAGAAUAAGCACCGGCUAACUUCGUG
rnacentral:rRNA from 1 species